GGAAGCUGUUGCUGUGAAGUUAAAUUGUUCCAACGAGGCGAAACUAGAGGAGCUAGAGGUGAGAAUCCCGAGAAUUGCUUCUGAUUAGAAUCGAGGGUUGAAAAUGAGGUGUGAAGAUAUCUCAUAUAAGCCGAAACGGGUGAUUCAGCCGGCGCGUGGACGGCUGGUAAUGGAGGCAGAGGCGAAAGCGGCGCAACAGGCCGUCCAAUGGGGCCGAAAUUGUUAGCCGAUGAAAUGGAAUUUCUAGGGUUCAGACCAGCCGGUGGUUGUUGUUGCGGCUGUGGCAUAGGAACAGCGCUAUUUAACAUCGGAGGAGGACGAUUACUGACGUUAGCAAGUGGAGGCGGUCGGAUUCGCUGCAGGCGAGAGCUCUGAGGCUUCGGUGGAUGAAUCGGCGGCGGAUUCGAGAACCGUUCGUGCGCCGGAGAGCCAGUGAGCUUCUGAACCACAUCUCGGAAAUCAUUCUUGUUGAUAUUGUAAACCGGCGGCUGAUGGUGCUGCGGUGGUUGCUGGGUUUGAGCCUGCACCGCCAAUUCCGGCGGCGGUGGCGGCGGUUGAGGAAGACUUUGAUUCUGAUUAAAACUAGGAUUGGAGUGAAUAGAAGAAUCAAACCCGGGCUUCUUAACGAAACUAGGCUUAGAAAUUUUGUGGGAAAGCUUGUUGAGGUGCCUGAGAUACUGGUCCCUGCCUGUAGAGGCCGUACUGCCGCCAUUAUUAGCGGCGGAGGAAUCUCCCGUCAGAGAAGAUUGGCAGCUUUUCUCCAUAUUUCAUACAAAAAAAACAAAACCCAGAUGGCCGGACCCCUGUUCUUGAUCAAAACACAACUGCAGAUCUAAUCCAAUCCAAUCAAACCUCGCUC
rnacentral:misc_RNA from 1 species